AUCCAGCUGACGAGUCCCAAACAGGGCGAAACUCGUGUCCUGAAU
rfam:Schistosoma margrebowiei strain Zambia genome assembly, scaffold: SMRZ_scaffold0003144